AUACUUACCUGGCAGGGGAGAUAGCAUGAUCACGAAGGUGGUUUUCCCAGGGCGAGGCUUAUCCAUUGCACUCUGGAUGUGCUGACCCCUGCGAUUUCCCCAAAUGUGGGAAACUCGACUGCAUAAUUUGUGGUAGUAGGGGACUGCGUUCGCACUUUCCCCUG
rnacentral:snRNA from 1 species